AUGUAAAAUGAUUUAAAUCGUGUUUCAAAACGUAAAUAAAUCUUUUUAGCAAUAUUUCUUGAUACAAAUCGUCUUUCGAAAUUAGGUUAUGAAACAGUUUUCACAAGUUUUCGUAUUUUUGCGAUCAUAAUAUAGAAUUUCUCCAUAGAAAGUUCCAGAAGUGUGCAUUAAACGUUCAUUUACAGACUUUCUCUUUAGCUGGUACUCUGUGUUCUUGUGCCACAUUUAAAAGCAGCAUUUAGAUCAGCUUUUUUGGUUCUUUUGUAUUGCAUGGGAGCAAUGGACAAGCCACAAGCAAAAUUUACAAAAGAGUUGCAGUUGCAGAUCACCUUGGCAAUAUCAAGGUGACACAGUUGUCUUCUCCCAGCAGCGAGAGGCAAUGUUGUGAUCAUUCCUCUGAACCACCUCCUCUCGGGGAAAGUGUUAUUGACACACAAUGCAUACCCAGACUGUAUCAGUCCAAGAGAAAAUAUAAUGAACACAAAUGAGUGCUGAGCUACAGUUUCAGACAAAUGGCUCAAUUUUCCAGGUUUUCUGUUCAGUGAACAAAUUACCACAUGGAGACAGAAGUUGUUGCAGAAGUGGCCUUGGUGUUCAAGUAAGACAGAAAGGCAAAUUUCUGACAUUUUUUUUUUAAUAAUGAUGCUAUUACAUCAUCCUCAGGAUAAGAUGUAGCUAGUGCACACAUUCUCAAAGUCUGUUAAUGUUUAUAGUGCUUCUGAUGAAGUUGAGCUUCUGGGAUUGUCACUGACUUGGUUUACUGCCUCCUCACUGCUGGUAUCCUCUGAACUUUGUAAUACAGGUCUGGCAGAUUCAGACCAACUGCUGCUCGAGCCAAACCCAAAGGUCCCAUUGAGACAAAUUAAAGGGCUGUUCUUGUAACUGUCUUUCAACUUAUGAAAGUCCCAGCCAGGGUAAUAAAUGAAAAUUGCGCAGAAAUGUUUGCAUGGAUAUUUCCACCUUUGGAAGUCUUCACAUGUGCAAUUAGGCUUUGCAAAAUUCACCACAUAGUAACAAUCCUUGGCCUCUGCACUUUCUACACAAAACAAUGCCUCACCCAUUUCUCUCACUGAGCUUUCGGUAAGUCCCGUUUGUGCUGAAGAAUACCUUUUCAUUACGUGAUUGACAAAUUCGUGUGACUUGUUAUGCAAGAAGUGAGGAAUCGCUCUGCUGUAAGAUUUCACAGCUGAAUUCUUCAGACAAUAUUUUUUAAACAGGCUAGGCAGGAAAUCAUUUAUUAAAACUUUAACAACACUUGUCAAUGUUUUAUCUGCUGAGUGUCGAAGAAAAAAAUGUUUCACUCUUAUUUAGUGAUUCAACAGCAUUAGUAGUAGUUAUAUUGGCGAAGAAAUUCUCCUUGUCCUCAUAGGCCUUCACCCACCUUUCAGAUACUGAAAGCCAUUGCUUAUUAAAAUAAUCAAGUGCACCAGAAUUUCUAGUAAAUAAUUCAUGAGAUUGAAGGUUUUGUUUUGCAGUUAAAAAUUUUUCUUCAGAUGGUGACUCUGCAAUUUCUUCCCACAGCUUCAGAAUUUGCUCACUAUCUCCCGGUAUAUCUAAAUUGUUCUUUUUGCUAAGCCACCGUUGCCAGGCUUGCUUUUGAUGAAAUAAACAAAGAUAAACUCUUGACAUUGGAAAUGUUCCUUUAAUUGCCCGUAUCUCAGGCUCAGAGAAAUAUGUAACCCAUGAAACUUGAUUCCAAUCUGGGUUCCGUGCCUUGAAAAUUUCUAGAGCCUCUUUAAUUGAUGCAGUGUUUUCUACUUGAAUGAAGAAUAUCCCAACUACUAAAGAGCAUACAGUAGCUUUCACUACCAAGAAAAAUAAUGGAAUGUCAUACUUCGUUGUCUUGUAUGUUGCAUCAAGCAAACAUACCCUACCAUACUUUUAAAAAAGUUCCCUUUGCCACUUGUGCUGGUAACAAAAAAGCAAUGGCUGGACUUUUCCAUUGUCGUCUGUAAACGGUCUGAAAAAAAUCUCUCAGCCUUCGAUUCCUUUUGCCACCCAUUAAUUCGAUUCCUUAAUGCAUCUUGGUCAAUAACAGUUUUCUUCAAAUCAAACAGAGCCCGAUACAUAUGGCUAUAAAUUGUACUAUCUGUUGGGUAAAACAUUAUGUUCAUCCGAUCUGGCCUGUUCCAGCAACACUAAAGUGCACAAUCCCCGAAAGUGUUAACGAACAAACUUUAGUUAUGUUUUAUUUGCAGCAAGUGUGUUUCUGUAUUGCAUCCUGGUCACUCACUGAUUUCCUUACAAGAAAUAAGCUCUGAGCACAUGGGUGUAAGUUGUUUAAUCUGUGUGGUAAAACAAUAUUUGAGAAAAGGUUUUUCAUUUAUAAAACAGUAGCAACUCAAAAAACUUAUGUACAUUGCUCAUAAUUUGUUGUGUAGUCAGAAUACACUUGUUGGAAUGAAUAAAUUCAAUUAUGUAAUUAUCAUUUCCUUUGGCAAUGAAUCAUAUGAGCUAAACAUGACAUUGGAGGGAAUAGCAGUUUUCAAAUCAUAAUUUUCAGUGCAUACUCUUAUGUGUGCAUUGUUCCUUUAAGCUUACACACAAUCUGUUGUUCAAAAUGACUAGUUGUUAGUGUUUUUGAAAAAUGUUUAUAUUACUGUACAUGUCAAUGUAUUUUAUGUUUUGCAUUUAUGUAAGCACGCAUGAACUACGUAUGUGAAUUGGACAUAUGAAGAAAUGUCAUUGUGUAAUUAUCCUUUUUGAGUGAAAACUAAACUCCAUGUAUUUCCUAUUACAGAUAAUAAAACAAUGUCAUAUUAAUAA